UGGGGAAUAUUGCACAAUGGGCGCAAGCCUGAUGCAGCCAUGCCGCGUGUGUGAAGAAGGCCUUCGGGUUGUAAAGCACUUUCAGCGAGGAGGAAGGUGGUGAGCUUAAUACGCUCAUCAAUUGACGUUACUCGCAGAAGAAGCACCGGCUAACUCCGUGCCAGCAGCCGCGGUAAUACGGAGGGUGCAAGCGUUAAUCGGAAUUACUGGGCGUAAAGCGCACGCAGGCGGUUUGUUAAGUCAGAUGUGAAAUCCCCGGGCUCAACCUGGGAACUGCAUUUGAAACUGGCAAGCUAGAGUCUCGUAGAGGGGGGUAGAAUUCCAGGUGUAGCGGUGAAAUGCGUAGAGAUCUGGAGGAAUACCGGUGGCGAAGGCGGCCCCCUGGANGAAGACUGACGCUCAGGUGCG
rnacentral:rRNA from 1 species